rnacentral:rRNA from 1 species
AUACGUAGGGGGCGAGCGUUGUCCGGAAUGAUUGGGCGUAAAGGGCGCGUAGGCGGCGCGGUAAGUCUGGAGUGAAAGUCCUGCUUUCAGGGUGGGAAUUGCUUUGGAUACUGCCGCGCUUGAGUGCAGGAGAGGUUAUCGGAAUUCCCGGUGUAGCGGUGAAAUGCGUAGAGAUCGGGAGGAACACCAGUGGCGAAGGCGGGUAACUGGACUGCAACUGACGCUGAGGCGCGAAAGUGUGGGGAGCAAACAGGAUUAGAUACCCUGGUAGUCCACACUGUAAACGAUGAAUGCUAGGUGUAAGAGGUAUCGACCCCUUUUGUGCCGGAGUCAACACAAUAAGCAUUCCGCCUGGGGAGUACGGCUGCAAGGUUGAAACUCAAAGGAAUUGACGGGG